rnacentral:rRNA from 1 species
GACGUAGGAUGCAAGCGUUGUCCGGAUUUAUUGGGCGUAAAGGGCGCGUAGGCGGGUAAGUAAGUCAGAUGUGAAAUUCCGGGACUCAAUUCCGGAGCUGCAUUUGAAACUGCUUGUCUUGAGGAUUGGCGGAGAGAACGGAAUUCCACGUGUAGCGGUGAAAUGCGUAGAUAUGUGGAAGAACACCGGUGGCGAAAGCGGUUCUCUAGCUAAUAACUGACGCUGAGGCGCGAGAGCAAGGGGAUCAAACAGG